rnacentral:tRNA from 1 species
UAAAAGAUGGUGUAUUGGAUGCACUUAAAGUUUUGAUCUUUACGGGAUAGGUUCAAGCCCUAUUUUUUUA